GUUCGAUCCCUGGUACCAAAACACACACACACACACACACACACAAACACAACCCAACAGAAAAUAAAGAACUGGAAUAAAACACUAAAGCGAUUAGACCUCAGAGAUAUCUAAUGUACACCACUCAGGAGGCAAACAAUAUGGAUUUUCCUCAAUUUUAUAUAAAACAUUCUCUCAGUCAGACCCACAGGUUAGGCUCAGGCUCAGAAAAUUCUGAAAGCCAGAAGUCAUACAAAGUAACUUCUCCUCCUCCUCCUCCACCUCCAACAGACAUCGCUGGCCUUCCUCCUGCUCCUCCUCCUGCUCCUCCUCCUCCUCUGCUUCCUCUACUAGACAUCGCUGCCUCUCUUCCUCCUCCUCCUCCACUUUCUCCUCCACCUCCACCAGACACACUUGCCUCUCCUUGUCUUCCUCAUCCUGCUCAUCCUCCUCUACCAGACAUCGAUGGCCCUUCUCCUCCUGCUCCUCCACCUCUUAAUCCUCCUCCUCCUCCUCCUCCUCUACCAGACAUCGCUAAACCUCCUCCUCCUCUUCUACCAGAUAUUGCUGACACUCCUCCUCCUUCUCCUCUACCAGACAUCACUGACCCUCCUCCUCCUCCUCUACCAGACAUCGCUGGCCCUCCUCCGCCUCCUCAACCAUACAAUGCUGGCCCUCCUCCUCCUCAUCUACCAGGCAUCACUGGCCCUCCUCCUCCUCUAAGACAUUGCUGGCCCUCCUCCUCCUCUCCCAGAGAUUGCUGGCCCUCUUCCUCCUCCUCCUCCUCCUCCUCCUCCUUCUCUACCUGACAUCUCUGGCCUUCCUCCUUUUCCUCCUAAUCAUUCUCAUCCUCCUCCUUCUCUACCAGACAUUGCUAGCCCUUCUCCUCAUCCUCCUCCUCCUCCUCCACCACCACCGCCAGACAUUGCUGGCCCUCCUCCUCCUUCUCCUCUUCUACCAUACUUUUCUGGCCCUACUCCUCCUCCACCAGACAUCUCUGGCCCCCCUCCUCCUCCUCUUCCUCCUUCUCCUCCUCUUCCUCCUCCUCCUCUACCAGACAUCGCUGGCCCUCCUCCGCCUCCUCAACCAUACAAUGCUGGCCCUCCUCCUCCUCAUCUACCAGGCAUCACUGGCCCUCCUCCUCCUCUAAGACAUUGCUGGCCCUCCUCCUCCUCUACCAGAGAUUUCUGGCCCUCUUCUUCCUCCUCCUCCUCCUCUUCCUCCUUCUCUACCUGACAUCUCUGGCCUUCCUCCUUUUCCUCCUAAUCAUUCUCAUCCUCCUCCUUCUCUACCAGACAUUGCUAGCCCUUCUCCUCAUCCUCCUCCUCCUCUACCAGACAUUGCUAGCCCUUCUCCUCCUCCUCCUCCUCCUCUACCAGAUGAUCCUGGCUUUCCUCCUCCUCUGCAACCUUCUCUACCGGACAUUGCUGGCAUUCCUCCUCCUCCUCUAUCAGACAUCACUGGCCUUCCUCCUCCUCCGAAUCCUCCUCCUCUACCAGACAUUGCUGGCCCUGCUCCUCCUCCUCCUCCUCCUCCUCCUCCUCAUCCUAUUUCUUAUCUACAGACAUUGCUGGCCAUCCUCCUCCUCCUCAACCAGACAUCGCUGGACCACAUCCUCCUCCUCCUCCUCCUUCUCUACCAGAUAUUGCUGACCAUCCUCCUCAUCCUCAUACUCAUACUCCUCCUCUUCCUGCUCCUGCUCCUCCUCCUCCUCCUCUACCAAACAUUGCUGGCAUUCCUCCUCCUCUAAAAGACAUCUCUGGCCCUCCUCCUCCUCUUCUACCAGACAUCACUGACCCUCUUUCCCUCCUCCUCCUCCUGUACCAGACAUUGCUGGCCCUCUUCCUCCUCCUCCUCCUCAUCUACCAGACAACACUAACCCUCCUCCUCCUCUACCAGAAAUCGCUGACCCUCCGCCUCCUCCUCCUCCUCCUCUACCAUACAUUGAUGGCCCUCCUUCUACACAUCUGCCAGACAUCGCUGGCUCUCCUCCGCGUCCUCCUCCUCCUCCUCCUCCUCCUCAUUCUCCUCUAACAGACAUUGCUGGCCCUCCUCCUCCUCUUCUACCAGACAUUGUUGACCCUCUUCCUCCUUCUCCACCACCUCCUCCUCCUCCUCUACCAUAUAUAACUGGCCUUCCUCCUCCUCCUCUACUGGACAUCUCUGGCCCUCCUCCUCUUCCUCUUCCUCCUCCUCCUCCUCUUCCUCCUCUUCCUCCUUUUCUAGCACACAUUGCUGGCCCUCCUCCUCUUCUUCUACCAGAUAUCACUGACCCUCCCCUCCUCCUGCUCCUCCUCCUCCUCCUCCUCCUCCUGCUCCUGUACCAGACAUUGCUGGACCUCUUACUCCUCCUCCUGCUCUACCAGACAUCAGUGACCCUUCUCCUCCUCAACCAGACAUGGCAGGCCCUCCUCCUCCUCCGCCUCCUCCUCCUCCUUCUCCUCCUCUACGAGACAUCGCUGGCGUUCCUCCUCCUCUUUUACCAGACAGUGUGGACCAUCCUCCUCCUUAUUCAACUCCUCUUCUGCUACCAGACAUUGCAAGGGCUCCUCCACUUCCUCCUCCUCCUCCUCCUCCUCCUCCUCCUCCUCCUCCUCCCCUCCUCUACCAAACAAUGCUGGCCCUAAUCCUCCUCCUCUAACGGACAUCUCUGGCCCUCCUCCUCCUCCUAUUCCUCCUCCUCCUCCUCUAACAGACAUCACUGGCCCUGCUCCUCCUCUUCUACCAGACAUCACAGACCAUCCUCUUCCUCCUCCUCCUCCUCCUCCUCCUCUUCCUUCUCCUGUACCAGACAUUGCUGGCUCUUGUCCUCCUCCUCCUACUCCUCUACCAGACAUCACUGACCCUCCUCCUCCUCCUCCUCUACGAGAUAGUGCUGGUCCUCCUCCUCCUCGUCCACCAGACAUUGCUGGCCUUCCUCCCCCUCCUCAUCCUCACCCUACUUGUUCUCUACCAAACAUUGCUGGCCCUCCUCCUCCUUCUCAUCUACCAUACAUUGCUGUCCCUCCUCUUCCUCUACCAGACAUCUCUGGCCCUCCUUCUCCUCCUGCUCCUCAUGCUCCUCCUCCACCAGACAUCAAUAGCGCUCCUCCUCCUCUUCUAGCAAACAUCGCUGACCCUCUUCCUCCUCCUCCCCCUACUCCUCCUCCAGACAUUGCUGGCCCUCUUCCUCCUUCUCCUACUCCUCUACCAGACAUCACUGCCUUUCCUCUUCCUCCUUCUCCUUCUCCUCCUCCUCCUCCUUCUCUAACAGACAUCACUGGCCCUCCUCCUCCGACUCCCCUACCAGAUAUUGCUGACCCUCCUCCACAUCUUUCUCCUCCUCUCCCUCCUCCCCUAUCAGUCAUUCAUGGCCCUACUCCUCCUCCUCCUCAUCUAGGAGAAAUUGCUGACUUUCCUCCUCCUCAUGCUCAUCCUACUCCUUCUCUCCCAGACAUCCCUGGCACUUCUCCUCCUCCUCCUCCUCUUCCACCUCCUAGUCCUCCUCCUCCUUCUCCUCCUCCUCUUCAACCAGACAUCGCUGACCUUCCUCCUACUCCUCCUACUCCUUCUCAUCCUGCUAAUCUACCAGAUGUCGCUAGCUCUUUUCCUCAUCCUCCUAUUCUACCAGGCAUUGCUGGCCCUCCUCCUCCUCACCUCUACCAUACAUUGCUGUCCCUCCUCCUCCUCUUCUACCAGACAUCUGUGGCCCUCCUCCUCCUCCACCGUACAUCACCGGCACUCCUCCUCCUCUUCUACGAGACAUCACUGACCCUCCUCCUCCUCUUCUACCAGACAUUGCUGACCCUCCUCCUCCUUCUCCAACUCCUCCUCCUCUACCAGACAUUGCUGGCCUUCCUCCUCCUCCUCAUCUACCAUACAUUGCUGGCCCUCCUCCUCCUCCUCUAACGGACAUCUCUGGCCCUCCUCCUCCUCCUCUUCCUUGUCCUCCUCUUUCUCUACCACACAUCGCUGGCCCUACUCAUCCUCUUCUACCGGACAUCACUGACCCUCCUCCUCCUCUACCAGACUGCUGGCCCCCUUCCUCCUCCCCCUACUCCUCUAAAAGACAUCACUGCCCCUCCUCCCUCCCCUCCUCCUUCUCUACCAGACAUUGCUGGCCCUCGAUUUCCUCCUCCUCUAUGAUACUUUGGGGGCCCUCCUCCACUUCCUCCUCCUCUACCAGACAUUGCUGGCCCUCCUCCUCCUCUACCAGAUAUUGUUGGCCUUCCUCAUCCUCAUCCUUACCCUCCUCCUUCCCUACAAGAUAUUGCUGGCCCUCCUCCUCCUACUCCUCCUCCACCAGACUUUGCUGGCCCUCCUCUUCCUCUUCCACCAGACAUUGCUGGCCCUCCUCCUCCUUCUCUACCAGACAUCACUGGCCCUCCUCCUCUUCCAGUUACUCCUACUCCUCUUCCUCCUCUAUGAGAUAUUCAGGGCACUUGUCCUCCUCCCCCUCUACCAGACAUUGCUGGCCCUCUUCCUCCUCCGUCUACUCCUCUACCAGACAUUGCUGACCCUCCUCCUACUCCUCUACCGGACAUCGCUGGCCCUCUUCCUCCUCUUGUACUGGACAUCUCUGGCUCUCCUCCUCCUCCUCUUCCUCCUCCUCCUCUACCAGGCGUCACUGUCCCUCCUCCUCCUCUUCUACUAGACAUCAUUGACCCUCCUCCUCCUCCUCCUGUACUAGACAUUCCUGGCCCUCUUCUUCCUCCUCCUCCUAUUUCUCAACCAGAUAGCACUGAUCCUCCUCCUCCUCCACUACCAGACAUUGGUGGUCCUUCUCCUCCUCCUCUAUCAGACAUCGCUUGCACUCCUCCUCCUCCUUCUGCACCUCCUCCUCUACCAGACAUUGCUGACCCUCCUCCUCCACCUCUACUGGACAUCGCUGGCCCUCUUCCUCCUCCUCCUCCUCCUCUACCAGAUAUUGCUGACCCUACUCCUCUUCCUCUUCCUCCACCAUACAUUGCUGGCCUUCCUCCUCCUCUUCAUCUUCAUCCUCCUCGUUCUCUACCAGACAUUGCUGGCCCUCUUCCUCCUCCUCCUUCUCCUCUACCAUAUAUUGCUGGCCCUCCUCCUCCUUCUCAUCUACCAUACAUUGCUGUCCCUCCUCUUCCUCUACCAGACAUCUCUGGCCCUCCUUCUCCUCCUGCUCCUCAUGCUCCUCCUCCACCAGACAUCAAUAGCGCUCCUCCUCCUCUUCUAGCAAACAUCGCUGACCCUCUUCCUCCUCCUCCCCCUACUCCUCCAGACAUUGCUGGCCCUCUUCCUCCUUCUUCUACUCCUCUAACAGACAACACUGCCUCUCCUCUUCCUCCUUCUCCUUCUCCCCCUCCUCCUCCUUGUCUACCAGACAUCACUGGCCCUCCUCCUCUUCUUUCUUCUCCUUCUCUACCAGACCUUGAGGGUCCACAUAGUCCUCCUCCUCUACCAGAUAUUGCUGACCCUACUCCUCUUCCUCUUCCUCCACCAUACAUUGCUGGCCUUCCUCCUCCUCUUCAUCUUCAUCCUCCUCGUUCUCUACCAGACAUUGCUGGCCCUCUUCCUCCUCUUCCUUCUCCUCUACCAUAUAUUGCUGGCCCUCCUCCUCCUUCUCAUCUACCAUACAUUGCUGUCCCUCCUCUUCCUCUACCAGACAUCUCUGGCCCUCCUUCUCCUCCUGCUCCUCAUGCUCCUCCUCCACCAGACAUCAAUAGCGCUCCUCCUCCUCUUCUAGCAAACAUCGCUGACCCUCUUCCUCCUCCUCCCCCUACUCCUCCUCCAGACAUUGCUGGCCCUCUUCCUCCUUCUUCUACUCCUCUAACAGACAACACUGCCUCUCCUCUUCCUCCUUCUCCUGCUCCCCCUCCUCCUCCUUGUCUACCAGACAUCACUGGCCCUCCUCCUCUUCUUUCUUCUCCUUCUCUACCAGACCUUGACGGCCCACAUAGUCCUCCUCCUCUACCAGGUGUUGCUGGCUUUCCUCCUCCUCUUCCUCCCCAACCAGACAUCACUGCCUCUCUUCCUCCUCCUCCUUCUCGUCUACCAGACAUCACUGGCCCUCCUCCUCCUCCUCCUCCUCUACCAGAUAUUGCUGGUCCUCCUCCUCCUCAUCUACCAUACAUUGCUGGACCUCCUCCUCCUAUACCAUAUAUCUCUGUCCCUCCUCCUCCUCCUCCUCCUUGUCCUCCACCACCAGACAUCACUGACCCUCCUCCUCCUCCUGUACCAGAUAUUGCUGGCCCUCUUCCUCCUCCUUCUACUCCUCUACCAGACAUUGCUUACCUUCUUCUUCCUCCUCGAACGGACAUCACUGGCACUCCUCCUCCUCCUCCACCUCCUCCUCCUCCACAUCUAUCAGACAUUGCUGGCCCUCCUCUUCUUCCUCCACCAUAC
ensembl:lncRNA